UACGUAGGGUGCAAGCGUUGUCCGGAAUUAUUGGGCGUAAAGAGCUCGUAGGUGGCCUGUCGCGUCGGCUGUGAAAGCCCGGAGCUCAACUCCGGAACUGCCAUUGAAACUGUUUAGCUUGAGGAUGAGAGAGGUGAGUGGAAUUCCCAGUGUAGAGGUGAAAUUCGUAGAUAUUGGGAAGAACACCGGUGGCGAAGGCGGCUCACUGGCUCAUUACUGACGCUCAGGCGCGAUAGCGUGGGGAUCAAACAGG
rnacentral:rRNA from 1 species